ensembl:lncRNA
UGGGGCUCCAGGGUGCCCAGGCAUCAGGUGGUUCUUCUCUCCUGGCAUUUAUGCACAGCUGGCACUUCAGCAAGAACCUAAAGUCCCUCACGUCUAUUCUUCCUUUUUCCUGGGGGCAAAAUCACUUCCAGAUUGCUUCCUUUAAAUGGAGGCCAGUAAGGGGAUAGUGACACAGUAGACGCUUCUGUGCUGUAGCCCAAACACAUCUCUGCAGGAUGCCAGGGGGCUAGGGCCUGGGCACACCAGCUCCAGAGGCUCCAGGUGCUUUGCUGCAACUUCCUACAGGAGCUGAUCACCUAGACAUGCAGGAUACUACAAAUGAUGGAGCAGUGAAGCCACCAAGACGGAUCACCCUGUGGUAGAAAGUCCCAGGGAUCAAGCUCAGGUUGCCUGACAGGCUUGGCCACAAGCACCUUUACUAGCUGAGUCACCUUACAGUCCCAAAAUACUGCAUUCUCAUAGCAUUAACAGACUGAGACCAGCAGACACAAAAUCUGCUGUAAGGGCUUGACCGGCUGCCAUGCUGCUCUCUCUCCAGUCCUGCCUCUCCUGCUUCCUUCUGGAUUUCAGGACUCUUCGUGUUCACGUUGUCCUCCGCUGGCUAACUGGAGAUACACUCUUUAACUUAAGGGGACCCUGGAGAUUCCAGAAGUCAUCAGCUUAGCAAGGAAACAUUGCUUUUGUAUGUCCAUCUCAAGAAAAUGCCAUAUGGCCAGGAAGUCACACAGAAGCAGCCAGCUUCGCUGCAUCCUGAGAGAAACACAUCAGGAUCACAAGUGAGGAGGAUGGUGAUCGAUUUCUCGCAGUCAAUGGCACUACACAAGGAGCAUUUAUCCCUCAGGAUGGGGCAGGACAGCAAACAUUAAGGAUCAUCUGCUGCGUCCAGCAAACAUUGGUCCAGUUUGUUCUCAUCAUGUGCUUGCAUCCCCUGGGGGGAGACCGCAGACUAUGGUGCUCUUGGUAGAACUUGGAUGACUCUGCCCUGCUUCAGUACGGAAUAGCUGCAAGGUGCUUUGACUCCACAUCUCUACUUGUGUGCAGUGAGCUCGGUGGUAUAUCUCCUGUCAAGAAUCAUCCCGAAAGUUAAGAUAAACAGUUCUGACUCAUUUCAGAGGUUAGCACAAGUACAGAAGUAACAGUGAAUAACUGUAGGAGCGGAGCCUCACAGUUCUCCCAGCAUUCUGUCAACUCCUUGGCUACAG